rnacentral:lncRNA from 1 species
AACUAUCAAUAAUUUGUAGUUGGUUCAACUAAUUUUGGAUAAUAUUAUAAAAUUUAUGUCUGCUUGACUUGCAAAGUCUACAGAUAAGCUAACACUAGUUUGUGCGGUUAUGUAAUCAUUGCAUACCUUGAUCACUGAAUGAUAUACCGCAUGUGCGCAGAAACUCUAGUAAUACAAGGAUCCUGAAAGAACAAGAGAAUGUGGUUUUAGGUAUAUUGCUGAUGUUCUUGUAGAAAUAAUAUUGUCAAGUGUUAUUAGGAGAGAUUAUGCUGUUUGACAGUGUCUGCGCACUCAAAUACAUGUACUAUUGGGUUAAAAGCUCAACUUUCUUUUAAGGAAUGCAAGAUUGCAGAUCUUAGAGACAGUUGAGCAGUCCCCAUCCUUGACCUCUUAGUCUCUCACAAAUAAAUCCUAAAACGUUAACAUACCCUG